UUAAAAAAUCACGUUUUAGGAGAGUUUCAAACCCUAAACUAUUCUUCUUAUUCUCUCUCUUCCCCCUCUAACCUCUCAGAUCCUCUCUCCCGGAGAACCCUAGCGCCACCUUCACGCUCCGAUUCUCGCUGCAACAGACAUCAUCUUCCAAAAUUAAACCGAUCAAAGUGUCUCUCAUCAUCUCUACUUCAAAACGCCUUGAUCAAUUUUUGAUUCUGUCAUGGAGGAACAAUUCAUACUUAGAGUUCCGCCUAACGUUGCGGAGCAGAUAGAGCGUCUUCUUAACGAAAGCAAUCCUUCUUUGUCGUCCGAGGACAAGUCGCUAGAUUUGCAAUUUACCGAGGAUGGAAGAAGCGGCGAGUUUGUUAUUGGGGAUGCAAAUAUACAAUAAUGCAAGCUGAAACAUUUAAUGUUUUGUUUCUUAAUGUAGUUUGUUUUUGUGAUUUACAAUGAUGUUUUUUUUUGUGAUUUACAAGGAUUUUUUUUUUUUGGUUUGGGUAGAGGUUUUCCUGUUUGGUUGAAGUAUGUUCCUGGGAUCAGUUUUAGAACAGAUAAUGGUCCUUUUAAGGCUGCAAUGCAAGGUUUUACUCAGAAGAUUGUUCAGAUGAUGAAGAAUGGAAAGUUGUUUCAAUCUCAAGGUGGACCAAUUAUUCUUUCGCAGAUUGAGAAUGAGUAUGGACCUCAAGGAAGAGUACUCGGAGCUUCUUGUCAUGCAUACUCAAAUUGGUUUUUACUGUGAUUAUUUCUCUCCCAAUAAACGAUACAAGCCUAAACUUUGGACUGAGUCUUGCACUGGCUGGUUUUCAUAAUUCGGUGGACCUGUUCCUCAGCGACCGGUUCAGGAUACUUCUUCAUUGUUCCUGCAAACGCAAGAGGCCAUUCCAAAGAUUGGUUUGUCUCACUCAUUUGAUUGGUAGAAAUAAAGAUUAAGAUGAACAUAGCUUUUGAAGAUCCUGCAUUGCAGGUGACUUUACUCUUGCAAAGUUGGAAUUGGAUUUCAAGAGAUUAUGGGAGGAGUUUAUAGCAGAUCUUCAUUGAAAAAUCAAAUAAAAUCAGCUGAUUUUGUGUUUGUUAGAUAUUCAUGAAAUGAAAAAGGGUUUAAUAGAGGUUGAUAACGCAAUAUAACUGUUUUCACUGUGUGUAUAUACAUAUCUAUACAUAUCUAAUAUUGUAUUGAAUGCUGCAAGCAAGAGUUUGUUUUGUAUAGUCUGGUGUCAAAUGUCAAUGAACUCCUUUAAAGUAAGAUUGUUUUUCUGAUCCACUUAAUAACAAAACCAUACUAUAAACCUUAUGGAUGGUUUUUAUCUCUAUUGAAGGAACCAUCUCUGCAUCCGUGAUGGAAAAUUACCUCUAAGAGGUCUCUAAGGGAUGCAGUAGAACUGACAGUGUACAACAAUCAUCGCCUUAUUCAUUUGGAACUAAAAUGUUUCAUCACUUUAUUAAUUUUUUUAUUGAAUUAAAUUUAUUAUUACUAAAUUAAAACAUUUUAUAACUUUUCAAUCUACUUUUAAUAAACACGUAAUUAAAUCACGUCAUGCCUU